CCGUAGCUUUGUCACAACACACACCAGAUGAAAGUCGAGAUUUCCUCAGCGUCGCAUACUGUGCGACUCUGUCGCAAAAUCAAGACGAAAUAGAAAGGAAAUUAAGGAACGGUAUAUUUGGAAGGAAAAAGUGCUUGUGCCAAAACACUUUCAUCAUUUUUUUGGCGCUUUCACCUUUUCUCCGCACCUUCGUUUUCCUCUCUGAUUUCUCCACCGUUUUCCAAUGUCCAAAAUUGUCUGCUCUGGAUUGCAUGGGGUCGAUUUUUAAUUAUUUAUUUCUAUCGAUAUCUUAUUAUCCAUCGCUAAUUAGAACGACUAGUGUCGUCUGCUUCGUUUUGUGCACGAAAAAUAGCAAAACAAAUUAAAUUACAAAUAUAUGUGGUUGUUGAUUUGUCGUAUAAACUAUGUAUGUCUCGGCUCCCCAUGCUUUCAACUCAAUGCUGUUUAGCAGGUAAAUUAAACUAAGAAUAUAAAUCAGAAUGAUAAUGGAAGUUUGAAUAGAAGAGUUAUAAAGCCUGUUCCAAAUUUGAGUUGAAAUGAAUUAGUUCCUGACUUAUUAAUCAUGUGAGCCCCCUGUUGAUGAUGUUUAUGGCAUUUUGUUUGCAUUAUGUAACCUUUUUUCUUUGUGCACAGACCAGAGCCAGCCAUCACAACCACAAGAUGUGCAAGUUUUAUCUGUGUUGGUCCUGUCAUCAGCAACAAUCAUCAUCGCUUGGAUAAACAACAUUUUGAUUCGAGGAACUACCGAUGUCGGCUUCAUCUUCCCAUUAGAUCCCCUCUGCUAUCGUGUACGUGCUGUGGAUGUAAUAUUCACGAUUCUGAGGCCCAUUUUUCCAUCACGCCUGGUGUAACAUUCAACUAUUCAGCGGAUGUGGAUGGAUGCCUGGCUGUAAGAUUCCCAGGCACAAAGGUAGGCAAGUGUAACUCUAUUCUUCCUUUUUGUCUCUUUGGUGGCGGUUAAAUCGUUACGGAGUACGAUUAUUCCUUAGCUUUUUGUUGACUCGGUUAGGAUUCAUUAAACAAAUCAAAUUUUCUGACCAAGAGGUACCUCCUCGUUUAUUUUUUCAAAAAAUAUAAAUCGCUAUCAAAAAUAGUAUGGCAUGAGAUAAAAGCAAUAGUCAAGGCUACAAAAAUAAAAAUAAAUGUGCGUAGGCUUUACAAUCUUAUCCGUUAAAAGGCGUGAUACCAACUGUAUAGAGUAGUGUGCAAUCACCAGAUCGUGCGCGUGAUUCAAAAAUUCACGGCGCGUGAAAUAUACGUUUUUUCCUUUCGAGAAGGACAGCAGGCGUGUAAACAUAAUA